GAGAGUAUAGCUCAAGUGGUAGAGGUCAUGCUUAGCAUGCAUGAGGUCCUGGGUUCAAUCCCCAGUGGUUCCU
rnacentral:tRNA from 1 species